UACGGAGGGGGGCUAGCGUUGUUCGGAAUUACUGGGCGUAAAGCGCACGUAGGCGGCUUUGUAAGUUAGAGGUGAAAGCCCGGAGCUCAACUCCGGAAUUGCCUUUAAGACUGCAUCGCUCGAAUCAUGGAGAGGUGAGUGGAAUUCCGAGUGUAGAGGUGAAAUUCGUAGAUAUUCGGAAGAACACCAGUGGCGAAGGCGACUCACUGGACAUGUAUUGACGCUGAGGUGCGAAAGCGUGGGGAGCAAACAGG
rnacentral:rRNA from 1 species